CACUUCUAAGGAAGGCAGCAGGCGCGCAAAUUACCCAAUCCUGACUCAGGGAGGUAGUGACAAGAAAUAACAAUAAACCGGCUUAUGCCGGUUUAAUUGGAAUGAGUACAAUUUAAACAUCUUAACGAGGAACAAUUGGAGGGCAAGUCUGGUGCCAGCAGCCGCGGUAAUUCCAGCCCCAAUAGCGUAUACUAAAGUUGUUGCAGUUAAAAAGCUCGUAGUUGGAUUUCUGUGGGGACGGAGCGGCCGGCCGCACACCGCGGUUCGAGCUAGCGCUUUCCCUACAUCCUGCCGCGAACCGUGCUACCAUUAAUUUGGUGGCGCCGGGGAUCGGCUCGAUUACUUUGAGAAAAAUAGAGUGUUCAAAGCAGGCCACAUGCCUUGAAUAAGUUAGCAUGGAAUAAUAACUAAGGACUUCGGUUCUAUUUUGUUGGUGUUCGGGACUGAAGUAAUGAUUGAUAGGGACAGUUGGGGCGGUCUGUAUUCCAAAGCGAGAGGUGAAAUUCUUAGACCUUCGGAAGACAAACAGCUGCGAAAGCGUUCCGCAAGGAUGUUCCCUUUGAUCAAGAACGAAAGUUGGGGGAUCGAAGACGAUCAGAUACCGUCGUAGUCUCAACUAUAAACUAUACCAGCUAGGGAUCGGCCAACGUUAUUCUAUACCGACUUGGUCGGCACCUUAUGAGAAAUCAAAGCAUCUGGGUUCCGGGGGGAGUAUGGUCGCAAGGCUGAAACUUAAAGGAAUUGACGGAAGGGCACCACCAGCCGUGGAGCCUGUGGCUUAAUUUGACUCAACACGGGAAAACUUACCAGGUCCAGACAUAGUAAGGAUUGACAGAUUGAUAGCUCUUUCUUGAUUCUGUGGGUGGUGGUGCAUGGCCGUUCUUAGUUGGUGGAGUGAUUUGUCUGGUUAAUUCCGUUAACGAACGAGACCCCAGCCUGCUAAAUAGCGCGCGUGAGCUUUGCUCGCGGCGAGCUUCUUAGAGGGACUCUGAUGCGCGAUAGCACAUGGAAGUUUGGGGCAAUAACAGGUCUGUGAUGCCCUUAGAUGUUCUGGGCCGCACACGGGCUACACUGGCGCCUGCAACGAGCAUAUCAGCUGGCCCGAGAGGGUCUUGGCUAAUCUUUUGAACCGGCGCCGUGCUUGGGAUUGACCUUUGCAAUUGUUGGUCAUGCAACGAGGAAUGCCUUGUAAACGCGAGUCAUCAGCUCGCAUUGAAUACGUCCCUGCCCUUUGUACACACCGCCCGUCGCUCCUACCGAUGAAUGUUCCGAUGAAAUUUUCGGAGAGCACCUGUGAACUUGGCUCCGCCUUGCGAACGGGAGGCUCAAAGUCACUUAAAUCUGAACAUUUC
rnacentral:rRNA from 1 species